rnacentral:lncRNA from 1 species
GACAACAAUGGUCAAUGGUCCAAGAACCUCGAUAAAUUUUAUUAUGUUUUGAACUUUUAUACUCUCUCCAAUCCAUAUUAAUUGUUGUACUAAAUCAGCUACAAUUAAUAACAUGGAUCAAAUAGAGUAAUACAUUUGAGUCCUUUUCAAAGAAAAGAAAAACCUCAGCACCAAACUAAUAACAAUAUGGGUAACAUCACACAUAUGAAAACAAAAUAAGUCUACAAACUAAUAAAUAAAUUAUUGCAUGACACCACAACUGUGUUACUCUCGAUUGUAACAUAGACUAGUAACAUAUGCAUGUUAUUAGUCUAAGUAACUCCUCACUAUGGUAGUCUGAAUCUAAGCACUCACAGCCGUCCUAUAAUAGGAGUAAAUAGUACGCAAACCAAGCUUGCAGAACAGCCUGCACCUUAGGAAAUAGUAUAUCCAAGAAAAAAAAGGGGAAUUUAUCUCCACUCUUUCUGAAUUGUCAACAAUACAUGCAACAUAAGUUUGCAUCUUCGAAACAAGUCUACCACCACAUGCUAGCAUACAACAUUUAUAAGGUGUAUCAUAACAGCAUAUCAGUGAUCAAACCAAGCAUAGCCGCUGUGCCUUCCUUGUGGGUAUCAAACCAAGCAGACACCUUCAAAUCUACUCCCUCCGUCCGGAAAAGCUUGUCUCUCAAAUGAAUGUAUCUAGCAUCAAGUUAGUGCUAGAUACAUUCAUUUGAGAGAGAAGCUUGGGACAAGCCUUUUCGGACGGAGGGAGUACAAGGUUUUCAACAGUUCACCAGGGUCGAUUUCAUGGAAGAGAGGAAACAUAAGGGGAAGACGAGAGGCGGAGACCAUGAAGUGAAACCAAAACUUUCCACUGUGUUCCUUUUCAGCUCUGCCAUAGCCUGUCUGCCUGUGUCAGAUUCUGCCACCGAGUGUUCGACCCUACCCCAUAACACUUUGCCAAGCUCCAUCGCAGUCCGCGUCACGCCUCCCCUGCAUCUCAAAUCUAAAUCCAAUUCCUGCCACAGCAAAGACUAGGCAAGUCCUCUGAGUCUGGGUUCUAAGGCUCAUGGGGACAUUGCUACUGCAGAGAGGGACAUUGGGCAACACAUGCUGCUGCUUGUUGUCCUGAGAGCUGAGAUGUACAUCUUCCACAAACAUGCUUUUCAGGGGUUCUAAGGUCUAAUCAGCAGCACACUAGCUACAAAGGUGAGCCGUACAAAACAAACAAUGAGUCACCAUAGAGUACCAGUAACCAAUAGCUGGAACAUCAUGAGCCCUCAGCUGAAAACACCAGUAUGUCAGUCACCAUAUUAUCAAACAUCCAGUGACUUAUUCAGUAGUGAGCAAGUCAGCAACUACCAGAAACACAAAUCAUAGUCUGACUACAAGAAUUCAAAAUAUGCAUUUCAUGGUCGAGUUGAGCCAGCAGAAAGCGAGCCAUCUCUUAAAUGCACUAGGCACAGUUGCAGUUGCUUUUGGACCAUUUCAGCAACCAUUUGCAGCCUUCCUCGGCUUGUCUCUCCACCUGCUGGCGAUCCAUUCACCGUCUUCACUGCUUUAACAACACUCUGCUCACACCUCUCCCAAUCCUCGUGUUGCAACCAGCAAGACCAACCACCAUGGCUGCCAUCCAUUGCAAGGUAUGCGAUAUGACUAGUAUCCCCAAAGGUGUACCUUAAUCUCAGAGAAACACAAAAUGGUAACCAAGCAGCUCCACCAGAUGUCCUCGCAUGUGGUGUAAGAUUAUGGUCAAGCACAAAAGUGAGGGUAAAAUCUACUGAAUUGUUGGCUCGGUCAUGCUGAAUAUUACUCUUGGAUAAUAAAGAAGGUUCAGUAUAAUCAUCUGAAACUGAUCUUGGAUGCUUUUCCAAACAAAGUUCAGCCCGUGCCCGCUCUGCAGCAGCAAUGUCCCCAUGAGCCUCGGACAAGCUUUUAUUCCAUGUAAUUAGUUUUACAAAUUCUUGUAUAACUGAAAUGGGCAGAGUAAGCAACAUGAUAAAAGAAGCAAUCCUAGAAGCAUCAUAAGGUUCACAGACAACACAUCUGCUGAAGUAAUCGCAUAUCUCAUGUAUCUCAAAUGGUGUUAGCUCUCCCUGAGCACUGCUCUGAGGAGCUUGCUGUUGCUGUUGCUGUUGCUGGUGGUGAAACCUCUUCACAUUAAGAACUUGAAGGUGCAAUUGAACUCGCUGAACACUAACUGCAAAGACAUAACCACUGCAAGUAAAACGAGUCAGAAUACAUUCAGAUACAGUAUUCCUUCAGGAAUCUACAUCGAUGUUGGUGCAUAUUGACUGAUGUGAUAAUAAACUAAUAUAAAAUAGAUUACGAUGAAUGCGAUUUUGACCCUUGGUAUAUCCCAGCACUUCUUUUUUCGAGAAAACGCAAGACCUUUGCGUUUCAUUUCAUUGAAAAGGUGGGGUGUACAAGUACAAUCCUCCUAGGAGGCUGGAAUUACAUAGCAGGCGCUAGGAUCAGUGGACAUCCCAUGACUGUGGCAGAGACGACCCUGAGUCCUUGGGCCCCUGCUGUGGCCCAGCAGCUGAUCUCUGCCUUGAUCUUGUCCAGGAUCUGUUCAGGAGAUGGUCUCGCUUGCUCAAAGACACAAUCAUUUCUGUGCUUCCAGAGCAUCCACGGCACUAGUAGGGCAACGGACUGCAGGGCUUUGCGCAAUCCUGGUGGCGUGGCCUCCUUCCCGCGCAGCCACCAGUCCAUGAGGUUGGCCUCGUGCUCCGGGACAGGGGCCGGGAUGCGCAGCCAUGUCAGGGUUGCGUGCCAUGUCUGACGGGCAAAGGGGCACGCGAGCAGCAGGUGCUGGAUCGUCUCGGGCGCUUGAUCGCAAAGGAGGCAGCGGGGGUGGUGUUGUAGCCCUCGACGAGCAAGCCUGUCUGCGGUCCAACACCGGUCUUGGUUAGCCAACCAGUGAAAAAAUUUCACCCGCGGUGGCGCCCAGCUCUUCCAAAUGAGCUUCCAGGAGUGGCAGGCAGUCGAUCCCUGGAAAGUGGCCAAGUAGCAUGAUUGCGUGGAGUAAGUCCCGUUUGCAGACCAUUUCCAGCGCAGCUUGUCCGGCUCGCUGGAGAGUGUAGUGCGCAUCACAUCCUGCCACGGCAGCAGGUAUUGCCCGAUCUUGUGGACCCCAAGGGUGCCAUGAAUGUCGCGCGCCCACGCGCUCCCGGCGAGGCCGGCAGCCACAGUUGUCGACUUGCGGCGUCGCUUGGGGAUACACUCAUAGAGCAGGGGCGCGAUCUCUCGGACGGAUUGCCUGUGCAGCCAUCGGUCCUCCCAGAAAAGGGCAGUCGAGCCGUCUCCAAGCACCAUGGAUGUGGACGCGAAGAAAAGGGCUCGCUCAUCGGCGGUGAACUGCAGGUCUAGACCCUGCCACAUGCGCUCGCUGUCCGUGCGGGCAAACCAGAGCCAGCGCAAGCGCAGCGCCAAGAAGGCGCGCUCCAUGUCGCAAACUCCAAGUCCGCCAUAUUCGACCGGACGGCAAACAUGUCGCCAGUUGACGUGGCAGUGCCCCCCGUUUGCAGCCACGCGUCCUGCCCAGAGAAACCCUUGCUGGAUCCUUUGGAUUUGUCGUAGGGUUUUCUUUGGGGGCGCUAGUGCCAGCAUUUGAUGGAUGGGGAUGGCACUUAGCACUGAUCUCACCAUGGCCAGCCGCCCGGCUCUAUUCAUCAGCCACGCCUUCCACGCUGGAAGCUGCCCAGCCACCGAGUCGACGAGGGGUUGCAACAUGGCAACAGAGGGACGGCGCGUCGUCAGCGGGAUGCCGAGAUAUUUGAUAGGAAGGUUCGCAACCGGGCAUCCCAGCUGCUCUAUCAUUGUGGUCUCAUCGGUGCCAUGAAGGACCGUGGCCGAACUUUUGGCAUAGUUCACCUGUAGGCCAGAGGCCAUGCCGAACAGGUGGAGUAUCCCUUUGACUGCGUCGACAUCCCCGGGUGUGGCGUUGCAAAAUAGCAUCACGUCGUCGGCGUGGAGUGAGAUCGCCGGGAUGUCGCGCCGAGGGUGCAGCUGUUGCAUGAUGCCUUCCUGGAGGGCACGCCGCAUGAGGCGACCGAGGGUGUCGACGGCGAGCACGAAGAGCUGCGGUGAUAUAGGGUCUCCUUGGCGCAGUCCACAACGGUGCCAGAUCGGCGGGCCGGGUUCCCCGUUGGGCAUGACACGAGUGCUGGCCGUGGACAGGAGGAUUGCGAUUCACUCCCUGAAGCGAUCGCCAAAUCCGUACUGGCGCAAAACCUCGAAGAGGAAGGGCCAGUAUGUUAGUACCUCAAAUCUACACCUAACAUGUACUUAAUCCUACCAUUUUGAUCUACAACCUAACAUGAAAAAAAAGGGCAGCCCGGUGCAUGUAGCUCCCGCUUGCGCAGGGUCCGGGGAAGGGUCCGACCACUUUGGGUCUAUAGUGCGCAGCCUUUCCCUACAUUUCUGUAAGAGGCUGUUUCCAGGACUUGAACCCGUGACCUCAUGGUCACAAGGCAGCAGCUUUACCACUGCGCCAAGGCUCCCCUUCAUCUACAACCUAACAUGCAGUAAAAGAUUAUUUACUUGUAUCGUUGCUCUUAGCGAGCAACCGUCCAGACUAGAUAAGAUCAUAAGGUUGCUAUUUCAUCUUUUGGGUUCAAUGUUUGAGAUAACAUUGCACUGAUUAUUCAGUUACAUACUAUUGUUAGGGGUAACAUCUCGAAGGACAUAAAAGAAAAUGUUAGCAAAAACAAGGAUGCACACAGAUGUUGCCUUGUGACCAUGGGUUCGAGUCCUGAAAACACCCUGUUGCAGAAACAUAGGGAAAGGCUGCGUACAAAAUACCCAAAGUGGUCGGACCCUUCCCCGGACCCUGCACAAGCGGAGCCACGUGCACCAGGCUGCCCUCUUUUUUUAGCAUCUGGUAUAUAGUGAUAAGAACAAGUUUUCCCUGCAUCCUGUUAACCAGAUCAAAUUUGUUGGGGGGGCGAACUGCCUAAUUUAUAGGAAAAGCAGAAUUGUUUUUGUUCAGAAGAAUGGAUCGAUUCUCCCUCCAAAGUUUAUCGCCCAAAUCUAUGAUCUCAUCUUUCACCUAAAAAUCCCUACUUCAACCCGUCCUCACUCCGUCCCUUCUUUUGUACUCACUCCGUCCUCAGUACAAUUUUGUACUAAAGUUAGUACAGAGUUGAGACACUUAUUUUGGAACGGAGUACAAUACAUAUGAACAAGAAAAACUAAACAUUAAAAAUAGGACAAGAUUAAUGUAAAGAAUGAUAAGAAAAUUUUGCACAACUCUUGGAACUUUCCAUGUGCAAUUGUGUUCUAAUAACACACAUCUAGUCAUCCAAUUGCAUCAUAUUAGGCCAUUAACAUAUCAGAAAAGCUGGGGAUAUUUUGGCUUUCUGUAAAGUAUAAAAAGUUGGGGAUAUCUUGGCUUUCUUGUAGAUACCAUGCUAAUAUAUGAAUAAAUUGCAUCUUACCCCACAAAGAAGCGCAACGCUGGCUGUUCUUGAUCCAAAUUCAGAAGUGCACCUUCAUUAUCUUUCAAAACUGACCCCAAUAUAUCUUUCAGAAUAUCACGCAAUUGUGCAAACAACCAUAGAACUCCAAGGUACUUGAGAAUGCCUCGCAACACCUUCUUAAGAGCAGCAUGAGGGACCCAGCCACCACCAUAGCCACCAUCAUCUCCAAGCCCGAUAAAAGCUGUGUUCAAUUCUCCUUUCAUAUGCACAGGAAGGUUAGUGUCAGGAGAAAGGUGUGCAGGAGCUCCGUCUCCUGAAGGUAGUGUGGCAUUGCCUG